rnacentral:rRNA from 1 species
GACGAACGCUGGCGGCGUGCCUAAUACAUGCAAGUAGAACGCUGAAGAGAGGAGCUUGCUCUUCUUGGAUGAGUUGCGAACGGGUGAGUAACGCGUAGGUAACCUGCCUUGUAGCGGGGGAUAACUAUUGGAAACGAUAGCUAAUACCGCAUAACAAUGGAUGACACAUGUCAUUUAUUUGAAAGGGGCAAUUGCUCCACUACAAGAUGGACCUGCGUUGUAUUAGCUAGUAGGUGAUGUAAUGGCUCACCUAGGCGACGAUACAUAGCCGACCUGAGAGGGGGAUAGGCCACACUGGGACUGAGACACGGCCCAGACUCCUACGGGAGGCAGCAGUAGGGAAUCUUCGGCAAUGGGGGCAACCCUGACCGAGCAACGCCGCGUGAGUGAAGAAGGUUUUCGGAUCGUAAAGCUCUGUUGUAAGUCAAGAACGGGUGUGAGAGUGGAAAGUUCACACUGUGACGGUAGCUUACCAGAAAGGGACGGCUAACUACGUG